rnacentral:RNase_P_RNA from 1 species
CGAGCCGACCGGGCGAUCGCGGCGCGCAAGCGUCGAGGAAAGUCCGGACUCCACAGGGCAAGGUGGUGGGUAACGCCCACCCGGGGAAACCCGCGGGACAGUGCCACAGAAAGUAGACCGCCGACUCCCCGCGAGUCGGUAAGGGUGAAACGGCGGUGUAAGAGACCACCAGCACCGCAGGUGACUGCGGUGGCUCGGCAAACCCCACCCGGAGCAAGACCAAGAGGACCCGCGAGGGUCCAUGGCAGGUGAGCGGCCCGCUCGGCCCGCAAGGGCCAGACCUGCUGGUAGGUCGCACGAGGCCAUCGGCAACGGUGGUCCCAGAGGGAUGAUCGCCCCUCGCGCAAGCGAGGACAGAAUCCGGCUUAUAGGUCGACUCGUCCG